UGGAAAAGGGCGUAUGGGGAAUGCCUAGGCUCUCAGAGGCGACGAAGGACGUGAUAAGCUGCGAAAAGCUGCGGGGAUCGGCACACACGAUAUGAUCCGCGGAUAUCCGAAUGGGGCAACCCGGCAUGUUGAAGACAUGUCAUGCGAAAGCAAGCAAACCCGGUGAACUGAAACAUCUAAGUAGCCGGAGGAGGAGAAAACAAAAGUGAUUCCGGUAGUAGCGGCGAGCGAAACCGGAUUAGCCCAAACCGUUGUUGUUUCGGCAAUAACGGGGUUGUAGGACCACGCUGUUCGAUGUGCGAUGAACUAGAACGCUUUGGAAAGAGCGGCCAUAGACGGUGAUAGCCCGGUAUAGGCAAAGAGCAUUCAGAUAGUGGUAUCCUGAGUAGUGCGGGGCACGUGAAACCCUGUAUGAAUCUGGCGGGACCAUCCGCCAAGGCUAAAUACUCCUGAGAGACCGAUAGUGAACCAGUACCGUGAGGGAAAGGUGAAAAGAACCGUGAACAACGGAGUGAAAUAG
rnacentral:rRNA from 1 species